AAUAUUUCUUAAAUUUUUAUUUGUAAUAAAAUUUAUUUAUUUAAAAUAUUAAAUAAAAUAAGAAUUUUUAGUAUAAUUUUUCAAAAAAAAAUAAAAAAUUAAAAGUAAAAUAGUAUAGUAAUAGAAAGAUGAAAUAAUUAAUUAAAAAUUAAUUUAAAUAAAAGUAAAUUUAAUUUGUUGUAUCUUGUGUAUCAGAGAUUAUUUAAAAUAAAUUAUUUAAAAUAAUUAUUUCGAAAUUUAAAGAGUUAAUUUAUUAUUUAAGUUAUUGUAAUAAAAAUAUUUAUAAUAAUAAAUUAGAAAUGAAAUGUUAAUCGUUUUAAAUUAUAUUUAAUUUUUAAAGAAAUAAAUUCAAUUUAUUUAUUUAAAAAAUUAUUUUUUAAAUUAUAUUUUAAAAAAUAAAUUUUAAAUAAAAAUAUUAUAAGGGAUAAGCUUUAUUAAUAAAAUUUUAGAUUUAAUUUAAUUUUUAUUAAAAUUUAUAAAAAUAAAAUUAUUUAUUAAUUAUAUUUUUUUAUAAAAAAAUUUAUAAAAAUUUAUAUUUUAAUAUUUAUAAAUUAAUUUUUUUAAUUUAUUUAAAUAUUUAUUAUAAUUAUUAAAAUUAAAGUAAUAAUGAUAAUAUUAGUAUAUAAAAAAAAAUUAAUUAAUUUUUUUCACUGGAAAAAAAAUUAAUUUUAUUAAUUCGGCAAAAAUAAUAUUCGCUUGUUUAACAAAAACAUGUCUUUUUGUGAGAUAAUUUAAAGUCUAAUCUGCCCCCUGAAAUUAUUUAAAGGGCUGCGGUAUUUUAACCGUACAAAGGUAGCAUAAUAAUUAGGUUUAUAAUUGAAAUCUAGAAUGAAUGAUUGGACGAAAUAUAAACUGUCUUAAAUUAAUUAAAAUAAAAUUUAAUUUUUAGAUUAAAAAGUCUAAAUUUUUUUAAAAGACGAGAAGACCCUAUAAAUCUUUAUAAUUUUAAAAAUUUUUUAUUUUUAUUUAAUUAAUAAAAUUUAAAUUAUUUAAAUUAUUUUAUUGGGGCGAUAAAAAAAUUUCUGAAACUUUUUAAAUAAAAAAUCUAAAAUUUAAGAAUUAAAUUAAAAUUGAUCUAUUAUUAAUAAUUAAAAGAAAAAGAUACUUUAGGGAUAACAGCGUAAUUUAAAUUUUAAGUUCAUAUUAAAAUUUAAGAUUGCGACCUCGAUGUUGGAUUAAAAUUUAAUUUAAAUGCAAAAGUUUAAAAAUUUAAGUCUGUUCGACUUUUAAAAUUUUACAUGAUCUGAGUUCAAACCGGUGAGAGCCAGGUUGGUUUCUAUCUUUAAUAAAUAAAUUAUCUUUUAGUACGAAAGGAUCAAAGAUUUAAAAUAAAAUAAUUUUUAAUUUGAAGAAUAAAAUUAAUAUAAAUUAAA
rnacentral:rRNA from 1 species